AAUUUCAGCCACCGUCACCGGACGACCAUUCGCCGGGAAUGACCAUACAGUGAGACGACAUGAACGAGACCUGAAACAGAUUAAGCAGAGACAUUAGCAUGUUAACAAACAGUAUUAAAAUGCUAACUUAUGGUUGGUAACCUAAUCAUAAUUAAAGAGCUGCUAAUGUAAACCUCUUGAUUAAUUAGAUACAGAAACAACGAUAAAACGAGUGAAGGUUACAGAGCCGGUUGUUCAGAGAAAAAAAAGCAAAAAACUUGAAGAUAAGGAAGGAGAUAAAGAUAUGGUAAAUCUGGG
rnacentral:lncRNA from 1 species